rnacentral:lncRNA from 1 species
GUCCCGAAUUCCCGUUAUUUUUCGAUUUCUCGGUUGUCAAACCUACUUAAACUUAAUAUGCCGUAAAUCUAAAUUGAUUUAUCUACACAAUGGUAUAUGACACGACUAUCAUUGUUGUCGGGAUCAUUAGUAGCAGGUCUCAGAAGUCGGUCAACGGGAUUUUUUUUGCAUUCGUCUCAAAUUUUGGCAACACCCAGCCCGCA